UACGUAGGGACCAAGCGUUGUUCGGAUUUACUGGGCGUAAAGGGCGCGUAGGCGGCUUAACAAGUCACUUGUGAAAUCUCCGGGCUUAACUCGGAACGGCCAAGUGAAACUGUCAAGCUAGAGUGCAGAAGGGGCAAUCGGAAUUCUUGGUGUAGCGGUGAAAUGCGUAGAUAUCAAGAGGAACACCUGAGGUGAAGACGGGUUGCUGGGCUGACACUGAGGCGCGAAGGCUAGGGGAGCGAACAGG
rnacentral:rRNA from 1 species